GGGGAGAUGGCUUGCAGAAAAGUCAAGUAAGAUGGAAUCUGGUCAUAAUUGGAGUGAACCAGGACAUGAACCCAAAGAAAGAACAGGAACAGAGGAGGUGUCAAGAAAGAAACAGGAUUGAGAGUGGCUCCCAACAAUGAACGAUGAAAUCAUCAGACCUGUUACAGGAUGGGCUGAAGGUCUUCUCCAGAACAUGGUCAGAAGGAACAACCCCAUCUGAGACCUGCUCUGGCAGUAGCACAAGGUUCAAGCAUGAGGAGCCAAGCCAAACCACACUUAAAACUUACAAGUUUCCACUCAGACACAGCUGCUUGGCAACUCACUGGAAAUUAUUGGGGUGGGGAUUAAACUUCUCCAAGCCUUCCCUCAGAUGAUCACCAUAGAAGGACUUCCAAACUGAACAUUUAUGAAUGAUUACAGUAACCGCCACAUGUUUGCCAGCCCAAGAGACCCUCAGUGUGUACUAGAACCAAGAGAAGUCUGUUUGCCUG